UACGAAGGGGGCUAGCGUUGUUCGGAAUUACUGGGCGUAAAGCGCACGCAGGCGGCUCGAUAAAUUAGAAGUGAAAGCCCCGGGCUUAACCUGGGAAUUGCUUUUAAGACUGUCGGGCUAGAAUCCAGAAGAGGGUAGUGGAAUUCCGAGUGUAGAGGUGAAAUUCGUAGAUAUUCGGAAGAACACCAGUGGCGAAGGCGACUACCUGGUCUGGCAUUGACGCUCAUGUGUGAAAGCGUGGGGAGCAAACAGG
rnacentral:rRNA from 1 species